GUCAAGUAAGAAUACCCGCUGAACUUAAGCAUAUCAAUAAGCGGAGGAAAAGAAACUAACUAGGAUUCCCUUAGUAACGGCGAGUGAACCGGGAAGAGCUCAAAUUUUAAAUCACCUUGGUGAAUUGUAAUUUGAAGAAAGUGUUUUGACUUUUCAGUUUAAUCCAAAUCCUUUGGGAUGAGGUAUCACAGAGGGUGAGAAUCCCGUUCGUGAUUAGACAUCGGAAUGCAUUAAAUUCACUUUCCAAGAGUCGAGUUGUUUGGGAUUGCAGCUCCAAAUGGGUGGUAAAUUUCACCUAAGGCUAAAUAUAUGCAAGAGACCGAUAGCGAACAAGUACCGUGAGGGAAAGAUGAAAAGUACUUUGAAAAGAGAGUUAAACAGUACGUGAAAUUGUUGAAAGGGAAACGAUUGAAGUCAGUCAUGCUAGUGAGGAAUCAACUUGGUGGUUUACUUCCUUGUGUAUUUUCUUACUUGGCAGGUUAGCAUCAAUUUUGGUUGUCAUCAAAUAAUUGGGGGAAUGUGGCUUUUCUUCGGGAAAGUGUUAUAGACCUUGAUAGAUGUGGCGACUGAGAUUGAGGUUUGCAGCGAAUGCCUUUGGCUAGUCAUCUGUCUUCUGACCGUCACCUCGCUUUUGACAGCUUGCUGAUGAUUGUGAGAUUUGUCAGUUUAGAAUUUAGAUUGAACAUAAAUUCGCUAAGGAUGCUGACGUAAUGGCUUUAAACGACCCGUCUUGAAACACGGACCAAGGAGUCUAACAUGUGUGCGAGUGUU
rnacentral:rRNA from 1 species